UACAGAGGUGGCAAGCGUUGUUCGGAAUUACUGGGCGUAAAGGGCGCGUAGGCGGCCUGCUAAGUCGAACGUGAAAUCCCUGGGCUCAACCCAGGAACUGCGUCCGAUACUGGCUGGCUUGAAUUCGGGAGAGGGAUGCGGAAUUCCAGGUGUAGCGGUGAAAUGCGUAGAUAUCGGGAGGAACGCCGGCGGCGAAAGCGGUACACUGGUUGACUUCUGACACUCAUGUGCGAAAGCCAGGGGAGCAAACGGG
rnacentral:rRNA from 1 species